GUACGUGAGCGUGGUGUCGCUGGUGACUGCAGCACUGGUCGUCUAUCUGGGACUGCAACUAAACGCUUGCAUCAAGGAAAGAGUGUGCACCAAAAACUUUGACGUGAACAAUCGGCGACACUGGAGUAUUUUGGUGCAGUCACUGGCCGUGUUCGUUCUGCUGGUGACUUUAACCCUGGCCACGACGGUGUGCUGCAAGGCUAGGGCCCGCCGGGGCUACCUGGCCGUACCGCUCUGAUAUCUCCCUGUGGAGCGCCAAUCACUGUGACCAAAAUUCACACCCGCAUACAGUGAUGUGCGAAUUAGUGGUAAUUUGCGGCAUCUGCCCCACUAAGCGCCCGCCGUCAUUUGGUAGGGACUUUCGCAGAAACUUUCGCAGGCCCCUUUCUGCUUUGUUGCAACUCACCCUGUUCUCGAAGAAAGUGGAACGUGAAGAUCGAAGCACACUUGUAGAAGUAUCUAGCUAAUCCCUUAGCUUAGAAUUACUGCAUAGCAUGUAUUCCAGUUAUGUGCACAGAGAACGUCACAGAGACCAUCGCUUUCAGAGAGAUCAUCGCUCACCGAGCUGCCACUUUGCUGCUGCUUGCGGAACGUUUGAAAGGGCCCUGCAACACAAAGGAACUUAUUGCCGCACGAAUCGAACGCCGCAAAAAGUUUUAGAAUCCGCCCAAUACGAGGGGAGUUACAAAGAUAUGCCGCACGCUGUAAUUGCUUUAUCUCUACUCUCGCCCCGACGAAAGCGCUGGAAGCUAAGCGGGGGCGGGGGUGGGGGGGGGGAAGGGAUGGCACUGAGGAAGAAGGUACGUCACGCUCGUCUCCUGACUUUUAGCGCAUUUUCUUUUUCCUUUCUUCAAACGCGUGGCGUGCUUUCAGUGCGAUCGCGCGCGAGUGGCGGCCUCUCGCGGCGGCCGCAGUAACUACCGAUCGCGCCAUGUUCAAAUCAGCCAAGUGCGUGGAACCUGCCUGUGACGCCGUAAGCAUCAUUGUUCGUCGAGAGAAAAGGAAGCACUUUUUAGCUGACUGCGAAUUUAUUGUAAAUUCCAGGUCGCGUGCUGCGCUAUAACGUUCGGCUCGCGUGUCCUCGGGAGCCUCGACUACCGAUCGGCAGCUUUUUCUGACCGCUGAAAAAGUGUUGCAGGGCCCCGUAAAGUGAGAUAUGCUGAGAAAGGUGGGAGCCGUAGUGUAUGCUGAAUAACGUCGUACCUAUAUGCCUACACUCAUCCACGGGAAUAAAUGAAAUAGACACGACCGAAACUGGAGUGCCUUUUGCAUCAUUAGGCCAUUUGCUACUCAGCUUAUUAAAGUUUGGUUGUUUCCUUUCGUUCUGGUUUGUUUUUUUCAAACUCGCUAGAAGGAACACGCCCGCAUUUUACGGGAGUAGCCAGGAUUCUAGAAGAAGGGCAUGUUGAUGACGAAAGCGGCGGCACGACACCGAAAACAACGACCCGAUGAAGGCAGGAUUGAAAACGAUGGCGUCUAGAAGAAAUUGAAGCUUAAGUAAGAAGGAGACGACAGUAGCGGGAAGCUGGAGAAUAGCGAUAGCGACGAAAGUGGCUUGUCGACAGUGCCCCGGAAACAACGUCAGGACGCCGCGUGAUAGCGAUGACGGUACGAAAAACACGAUAACGGUGAUGACAAAGUUGACGAGGGAAGCGUCUUGAUGACGAUGGCACUAGAGCCACGCCGAAAAGACGACGAUGACAACAGUGCGGAUGGUUCUGACGAUGGCGUAUGACUAUAUGACCCCACAACGACAACCACAACGUGAGAAAUACGACGAAUACGAGGAGGACGACACAAACAAUGGAAUGAUGACUGCAGCACGAUCAGAACAACGACAGCGUGAUGAUAGCCAUAGUGACGUCGAUGGUGGCAUGACUACGAUGACAAUGAGAUUAAAGGUAUGACAUUGCCAUGAGAACACGACGAGAAAAACAGCGAAGAUUUCGUUACAACACGGUAACGAAGACGACGCCGAUGGCGGCGGGACAAUGCUGAUGACGGCACGAAUAUGUCGAGAUGGCGAAGCCCCUAGCUCGGUGACGAAACUAGGACGACAACAACGAGACCAUGAGGCAGACAUGUCAGUGAUCGAUUUAGCAUAUUCAUUGAGCGUUACACUACAGCCUUAAGUGCAGAAGAAUUGUAUAAACAGCGUUACAUCAAC